CAUCUUCGGAUGUGUAUAAAAGUGGCGAAACGGCUGAGUAACACGUGGGCAACCUGCCCUUUGCACUGGGAUAGCCUCGGGAAACCGAGGUUAAUACCGGAUACUCCAUAUUUGUCGCAUGGCGAAUAUGGGAAAGCUCCGGCGGCAAAGGAUGGGCCCGCGGCCUGUUAGCUAGUUGGUGGGGUAGUGGCCUACCAAGGCAAUGAUGGGUAGCCGGGUUGAGAGACCGACCGGCCAGAUUGGGACUGAGACACGGCCCAGACUCCUACGGGAGGCAGCAGUGGGGAAUCUUGCACAAUGGGCGAAAGCCUGAUGCAGCGACGCCGCGUGCGGGAUGAAGGCCUUCGGGUUGUAAACCGCUUUCAGCAGGGACGAGGCCGCAAGGUGACGGUACCUGCAGAAGAAGCCCCGGCUAACUACGUGUCAGCAGCCGCGGUAAAU
rnacentral:rRNA from 1 species